UACGGAGGGGGCUAGUGUUGUUCGGAAUUACUGGGCGUAAAGCGCACGUAGGCGGCUUUGUAAGUAAGAGGUGAAAGCCCAGAGCUCAACUCUGGAAUUGCCUUUUAGACUGCAUCGCUUGAAUCAUGGAGAGGUCAGUGGAAUUCCGAGUGUAGAGGUGAAAUUCGUAGAUAUUCGGAAGAACACCAGUGGCGAAGGCGGCUGACUGGACAUGUAUUGACGCUGAGGUGCGAAAGCGUGGGGAGCAAACAGG
rnacentral:rRNA from 1 species